rfam:Pedobacter kyungheensis strain KACC 16221 contig019, whole genome shotgun sequence.
UUAUAGCCCUGAUCGGAGCGUCAUCCCCGAUAUUUCAUCGGGAUAAAGCGGAGAGCAGGAGUAACG